rnacentral:rRNA from 1 species
GACGAACGCUGGCGGCGUGCUUAACACAUGCAAGUCGAACGGAAAGGCCCUGCUUUUGUGGGGUGCUCGAGUGGCGAACGGGUGAGUAACACGUGAGUAACCUGCCCUUGACUUUGGGAUAACUUCAGGAAACUGGGGCUAAUACCGGAUAGGAGCUCCUGCUGCAUGGUGGGGGUUGGAAAGUUUCGGCGGUUGGGGAUGGACUCGCGGCUUAUCAGCUUGUUGGUGGGGUAGUGGCUUACCAAGGCUUUGACGGGUAGCCGGCCUGAGAGGGUGACCGACCACAUUGGGACUGAGAUACGGCCCAGACUCCUACGGGAGGCAGCAGUGGGGAAUAUUGCACAAUGGGCGGAAGCCUGAUGCAGCAACGCCGCGUGCGGGAUGACGGCCUUCGGGUUGUAAACCGCUUUCGCCUGUGACGAAGCGUGAGUGACGGUAAUGGGUAAAGAAGCACCAGCUAACUACGUG